CCUGCUUGAUCCUGCCAGUAGUCAUAUACUUGUCUCAAAGAUUAAGCCGUGCAUGUGUAAGUAUGAACAAAUUCAGACUGUGAAACUGCGAAUGGUUCAUUAAAUCAUUUAUAGUUUGUUUGAUGGUAUCUACUACUUGGAUAACCAUAGUUAUUCUAGAGCUAAUAUGUGAAACAAACCCCGACUUCUAGAAGGGAUGCAUUUAUUAGAUAAAAGGCCGAUGCGGGAUCUGCCUAUUGCUGCGAUGAUUUAUGAUAACUGGACAGAUUGUAUGGCCAUUGUGCUGGCGAUGCAUCAUUCAAAUUUCUGUGCUAUCAAGUUUCAAUGGUAGGAUAGUGGCCUACCAUGGUGAUGAAGGGUGACGGAGAAUUAGGGUUUGAUUUUGGAGAGAGAGCCUGAGAAAUGGCUACCACAUCCAAGGAAGGCAGAAGGUCCGCAAAUUACCCAAUGCUGACACGGGGAGGUAGUGACAAUAAAUAAUAAUACCGGGCUCAAUGAGUCUUGUAAUUGGAAUGAAUACAAUCUAAAUCCCUUAACGAGGAUCCAUUGGAGAGAGAGUCUGGCGCCAACAGCCGCGGUAAUUCCAGCACCAAUAGUGUAUAUUUAAGUUGUUUUAGUUAAAAAGCUCGAAGUUGGACUUUGGGAUUGACCGGCCGGUCCACCUAUGGUGUGCAUUGGUCGUCUCGUCCCUUCUAUUGGGUCGUGUCUCCAGCGCUGUUACUUUGAAGAAAUUAGUGAACUUAAAGCAAGACUACGCUCUGUAUACAUUAGCAUGGGAUAACAUUAUAGAAUUUCGAUCCUAUUAUGUUGGCCUUUGGGAUCGGAGUAAUGAUUAACAGGGACAAUCGGGGGCAUUCGUAUUUCAUAGUCAGAGGUGAAAUUAUUGGAUUCAUGAAAUACGAACAACUAUGAAAGCAUUUUCCAAGGAUGUUUCCAUUAAUCAAGAGCGAAAGUUGGGGGCUCGAAGGCGGUCAGAUACCAUCCUAGUCUCAACUAUAAACGAUGCCGACCAGCGAUCGGCGGAUGUUGCUUUUAGGACUCCGUCGGCACCUUAUGAGAAAUCAAAGUUUUUGGGUUCCGGGGGGAGUAUGGUCGCAAGGCUGAAACUUAGAGGAAUUGAUGGAAAGGCACCACCAGGAGUGGAGCCUGCGGCCUAAUUUGACUCAACACGGGGAAACUUACUAGGUCCAGACAUAGUAAGGAUUGACAAACUGAGAGCUCUUUCUUGAUUCUAUGGGUGGUGGUGCAUGCCCGUUCUUAGUUUUUGGAGCGAUUUGUCUGGUUAAUUCCGUUAAUGAAUGAGACCUCAGCCUGCUAACUAGCUAUGCGGAGGUAUCCCUUCGUAGCCAGCUUCUUAGAAAGACUAUAGCCUUUUAGGCCGCGGAAGUUUGAGGCAAUAACUGGUCUGUGAUGCCCUUAGAUGUUUUGGGCCGCACGCGCACUACACUAAUGUAUUCAAUGAGUUUAUAGCCUUGGCCGACAGGCCCGGGUAAUCUUUUAAAUUUUAUCAUGAUGGGGAUAGAUCAUUGCAAUUGUUGGUCUUCAACGAGGAAUUCCUCGUAAGCGCGAGUCAUCAACUCGCGUUGACUAUGUCCCUGCAUUUUGUACACACCGCCCAUCCCUUCUACCGAUUGAAUGAUCUGGUGAAAUGUUCGAAUCACGGUGAUGUGGGUGGUUCGCAGCCCGCGACGUCUCGAGAAGUCCAAUAAACCUUAUCAUUUAGAGGAAGGAGAAUUCAUAACAAGUUUGCGUAGGUGAACCUGCGGAAG
rnacentral:rRNA from 1 species